rnacentral:rRNA from 1 species
CACGUAGGGCGCAAGCGUUGUCCGGAAUUAUUGGGCGUAAAGAGCUCGUAGGCGGUUUGUCGCGUCGACUGUGAAAACCCGAGGCUUAACCUCGGGCCUGCAGUCGAUACGGGCAGACUAGAGUUCGGUAGGGGAGACUGGAAUUCCUGGUGUAGCGGGUGAAAAUGCGCAGAUAUCAGGAGGAACACCGGUGGCGAAGGCGGGUCUCUGGGGCCGAUACUGACGCUGAGGAGCGAAAAGCGUGGGGGAGCGAAACAGGG